UUUCCCUUCAACUCGAAAUUUCAUUUUCCCCCAAAUGGUGAAAUUGUGAAAGCUGAAAGAGUGAAAGGCGAUUGGCAGCAAUACAGAAUCCUUCAAGAAUUCGCUGCUCCCGAUUUCUGAUUCCGCCUCCGCUUCCAAAGGUAGCAAGAAAAGCCCCACCAUGACAAAGAAAGGUGCCUUUGCUGCCAUUUCUUACAUGGCUUGUGCUGAUUAGUUACAACUUUCUUUUCUUCUCCAGGAUUACCAGUUUAUGACAUGUAAUCUGUGUUCUUUUCCAACUUAAAUCUGUGUUUUCCAGCUUAAAUUUGGGUUUUCAUUUUAGUGUAUGUGAUAGUGUUAAGAGUUCCUGAAGGCCAAGGUGUUAUUUGAAGUAAUAUUUAUUUAUUUAUUUCUUACUUUUGUACCAGGAUGACAGAAAUACACACUUUUCUUCCAAAUAAUAUUUGUCUCAGUAUUAUGUUAUGUCUUACUUUUAUGAUUAUCACUAACAAUUUUCGUCAUUAAA
rnacentral:lncRNA from 1 species